AGCCAUGGCAAAGCCCGGGUUCAAGCUCAAUGAACUAUUUACACAGAGGUGGAAACUAGCAGCAAAGUAAUAAGCUUGUUGUGCAGAAAGAUGCAGCAGAGUGACAGGUGAUAAUGAACUUAUGCAGUCCAAGUGCAGAGAUCACGAGUAUAUCAUAAAAAGAAAAAGAAAAACCUAGUCAGCUAAGCAGAUUAUGAGCCCUACAGUGAAAAAGAGUAGCUGAGAGAUGCAGAAGUCUUGAGAAUAUUAUGCUGAAGCCAAGUGCCGGCAGGAGAGAUUGUGCAAAUGAGUUUGGAGAAUAGCUUGCUGCUUCUUCCAACUGUAAUGGUCAAACUUAUGACCUAGAAGAGGAAGGGGUAAAAAAAACCUUACCCAUACUUCUGCUUUUCCUAACAUAUUUGUGCUCUGCAUUUUUAAGUUCGGCCAAUUCUUACAUUCAAUCUAAAAACCACAGUUUCAGUACUUUUAACACAGGACUGAGUCUCACGUGGAUCAUCAAAGUCAUAUAGUU